GCCAGACUCCUACGGGAGGCAGCAGUGGGGAAUCUUCCGCAAUGGGCGAAAGCCUGACGGUGCAACGCCGCGUGAUCGAAUGAAGGCCUUCGGGUUGUAAAGAUCUGUUGACAGGGACGAAUAAGCAAUGCGAAUAGUUUUGUGUAUGACGGUACCUGAGGAAUAAGCCACGGCUAACUACGUGCCAGCAGCCGCGGUAAUACGUAGGUGGCAAGCGUUAUCCGGAUUUACUGGGUGUAAAGGGCGUGUAGGCGGGGACGCAAGUCAGAUGUGAAAACCACGGGCUCAACCUGUGGCCUGCAUUUGAAACUGUGUUUCUUGAGUACUGGAGAGGCAGACGGAAUUCCUAGUGUAGCGGUGAAAUGCGUAGAUAUUAGGAGGAACACCAAUGGCGAAGGCGGUCUGCUGGACAGCAACUGACGCUGAGGCGCGAAAGCGUGGGGAGCAAACAGGAUUAGAUACCCUGGUA
rnacentral:rRNA from 1 species